AAUCAACGCUGGCGGCGUGCCUCAGACAUGCAAGUCGAACGCGAAAGGUUCCUUCGGGAGCCGAGUAGAGUGGCGCACGGGUGAGUAACACGUAGGUAAUUUGCCUUCGGGUGGGGAAUAACCGUCGGAAACGACGGCUAAUACCGCAUAAUGCAGCGGCACCAAAUGGUGACAGUUGUUAAAGCUUUAUGUGCCUGAAGAGAAGCCUGCGGCGGAUUAGGUAGUUGGUGAGGUAAUGGCUCACCAAGCCCGCGAUCCGUAUCCGGUCUUAGAGGAC
rnacentral:rRNA from 1 species